UUCGAUAUGAGAACAAUAAUU
rnacentral:piRNA from 1 species